rnacentral:rRNA from 1 species
UUUGAUGGCGACCGGCGCACGGGUGAGUUACACGUAUCCAACCUGCCGAUGACUCGGGGAUAGCCUUUCGAAAGAAAGAUUAAUACCCGAUGGCAUAGUUCUUCCGCAUGGUGGAACUAUUAAAGAAUUUCGGUCAUCGAUGGGGAUGCGUUCCAUUAGGUUGUUGGCGGGGUAACGGCCCACCAAGCCUUCGAUGGAUAGGGGUUCUGAGAGGAAGGUCCCCCACAUUGGAACUGAGACACGGUCCAAACUCCUACGGGAGGCAGCAUG